rnacentral:rRNA from 1 species
GACGGCGGGUGCUAGCGUUGUUCGGAAUCACUGGGCGUAAAGGGCGCGUAGGCGGCCAUUCAAGUCGAGUGUGAAAGCCCGGGGCUCAACCUCGGAACUGCAUUCGAUACUGGAUGGCUUGAGGCCGGAAGAGGAGAGUGGAAUACCCAGUGUAGAGGUGAAAUUCGUAGAUAUUGGGUGGAACACCAGUGGCGAAAGCGGCUCUCUGGUCCGGUCCUGACGCUGAGGCGCGAAAGCGUGGGUAGCAAACAGG